UACGGAGGGUGCAAGCGUUGUUCGGAUUUAUUGGGCGUAAAGAGCUCGUAGGCGGUUUGUCGCGUCUGCUGUGAAAACCUAAGGCUCAACCUUGGGCUUGCAGUGGGUACGGGCAGACUAGAGUGCGGUAGGGGUGACUGGAAUUCCUGGUGUAGCGGUGGAAUGCGCAGAUAUCAGGAGGAACACCGAUGGCGAAGGCAGGUCACUGGGCCGCAACUGACGCUGAGGAGCGAAAGCAUGGGGAGCGAACAGG
rnacentral:rRNA from 1 species